rnacentral:rRNA from 1 species
AGGAUUAACGCUGGCGGCGUGCCUAACACAUGCAAGUCGAACGAGGUAGCAAUACCUAGUGGCAGACGGGUGAGUAACGCGUGGUCAACCUACCGUUGAGUGGGGGAUAACUAGCCGAAAGGUUAGCUAAAUACCGCAUACGUGUCCGAGGGGCAUCCCUUGGCCAUAAAAGGAGCAAUCCGCUCGAUGACGGGACCGCGUCCCAUUAGCUAGAUGGUGGGGUAACGCCUACCAUGGCACCGAUGGGUAGCUGGUUUGAGAGAGCGACCAGCCACACUGGGACUGAGAAACGGCCCAGACUCCUACGGGAGGCAGCAGUGAGGAAUUUUCCGCAAUGGGCGCAAGCCUGACGGAGCGACGCCGCGUGUGGGAAGAAGGCCUUCGGGUCGUAACCACUGUCGAAGGGGAAGAUAAUGACGGUACCCGUUGGAGGAAGCCCCGGCGUAACUACGUGCCAGCAGCCGC